GGUGCACGGGCCGCCAUGUUGGGUUAGGGCAGCUGCUUUGGCUGCUUACCCGGAACCCUCUCAAUCUAUUGACUCGACCCGAAUGCCGAGUCUUGGUUCCACACCCACUCCUCCCGACGCCCGGACUCGUAGAGCAGCAUUUCUGGCGCCACCCUAUAGCCAGUAGGAUGGGCGGCGGGAGCAUGGAUCAGAAGCAGUUCCUUGUUUUGAACUACCACGUGGAUUGCCGAGCCAAUCAAGGGGAGCGUCCACUUUGAUUCGCCGGCUUGCUCAGACCCCGCUUUAACCUGGGUCAGACGGCAGAACCUCUUAAACGAAAGGCUCUCGGCCUGCCUAGUCGGCUCCCGUUCUGGGCCUCUGAGGACCUCGCGACAAGGCUGCGAGCAGAGGCGUUGGUCUAGCUUCCAAAUGGAGGCUAUGGGAUCUUGGGAGGUUUUGUUCUCCACUCUUGGAGACACGAGGAUGGGAACUGGAGACAUUACCGCCUGGACUGCCCUAAUGCUAAGUGCAAGGGCUUUGGCCACUCGCCCUGGAAGGCGGAAUAUGGAGAGCGGCCGACUGACUAAGUGCAGAAAAGUAUCUGGAGCUAAAAGGGCUUGGAGCCCGGCGACAAGGGUUUGAGAGGGGGCACUUAUGCUCCCAUUCAGUGAAAUCAGUGGAUCAAUAUCAGUGGAGAAGGGAGAUGUCUGCAUGUGAUGACUGGCUGCCUCCGUGGACUGAGGUUCAGACGUGCCUGGAAACAAACCUAAAGCUGCCCUACCUAAGAAUCACAUUCCAAGCUAGACUUGACCCUCAUACCUGUGAACCCAGACGGUCCAGAAACAAGCUUACCAGUGAGUCUGGGCUCAGGAACAGGUGUGUGUGCCCUUGGUGCUGGGGCUAUUGGAUUGCCUACCUACAUCCUCAACAGUCUCCACUCUGCCUGAAUGAUCCUGAGGCUAUCAGAAAGCCCUACACUGUUGGUACCUGGGCCCCAACAUACUGUGAACGGAAAUGGGCCUUCUUUCUUUUCCUAUAGGUUAUUUGCUGGCAGUUCUAUUAAACUUGUUUCUAAG
rnacentral:lncRNA from 1 species